UGGAGCACUUGCAUUUUACUAACUAGUUUGGAUAAAAGUUAUCUUUAACAUAAAUUUUUGAGAAAAGGACAUACGUGUAGUAUUCCUUAUCGAGCCCUAUGUUGUUUUUUCCUAAUAUUAGAAUAAUGCAAAAAGAUCGAACAAAAAAAUAGUACAUCAUAAAAAGGGAAAGUCUUUUUGCAAAGAAGGCUUCUUUUUACUGGAAUUAUAGUUUGAACUAUUUUUUUUGUCCUAGUUUUUAUUUCAUGUUACUGGUACGAUAUUGAAUGCCACCUUUUUUUUUUAUUUUUUGUAGUUUUUAAUGGAGUUCAAUGCUUAUAGAUAUAGAGGACCGACACAUUUUUAAGACGGUCUGAAAUUAUCUUCAAGAGCGAGUAGGGAGAAAGAAUCUCUCGAGUCUUCUACACAGAAAAUUGUUCUUCCAAGCUUCCUCUUCCUCGAUGACUACUGAGUUGAUUUUAUGCCUUAGUCAUACUAUUCUGAUUAGCAUUUCUAAAUCAUCCUAUAAAAGCUAUGCCCAAUCAUCAUUCCAAACCUUCAUUUUUGGCCCUGGCACAUAAUGAAUUUGAAUUUCCAGAUGCCUUAAUCUUCCUAUCCUCAACUCCUUGUUAUACACUUGGGGUGUUGUUAUACACUUGGGUGGCCAAAACCCCUUGUUAUACACUUGGAUGGCUGAUGGGGAUCGUUAUUCAUUCUUGAUAGAGUUUGAUCUAACUGAAUGUGCUAUCCUCAACCACCUUCUUAUACACUUGUGUGGUUCAUGACUAUCGUUAUUCAUCCUUGUUAUAUAUUUGGGGGUGGUUCAUGUUGUUGAUAGGGGAUCGUUAUUCAUUGUUGAUAGAGUUUGACCUAACUGAAUGUGCUAUCCUCAACCACCUUAUACACUUGUGUGGUUGAUGACUAUCGUUAUUAACGCCUAGGCUUUAUGAAAACAAAAUAAAGCCUUAUCUCAAAUUUGUUUCUAUAAAUCACUUUCGACAAAAGAAAUCUCCAUGAUGGAUCUAAAAUCAAUUUUUAACACCAACAAUAAAAUUUGAAAUUAAAAAAAUGAUACAAAUAUUAAAGAUCCAAGAUAUUUUUAGGGAA
rnacentral:lncRNA from 1 species